AGAGUUUGAUCAUGGCUCAGGACGAACGCUGGCGGCGUGCCUAAUACAUGCAAGUCGAACGCUUCUUUCCUCCCGAGUGCUUGCCCUCAAUUGGAAAGAGGAGUGGCGGACGGGUGAGUAACACGUGGGUAACCUACCCAUCAGAGGGGGAUAACACUUGGAAACAGGUGCUAAUACCGCAUAACAGUUUAUGCCGCAUGGCAUAAGAGUGAAAGGCGCUUUCGGGUGUCGCUGAUGGAUGGACCCGCGGUGCAUUAGCUAGUUGGUGAGGUAACGGCUCACCAAGGCCACGAUGCAUAGCCGACCUGAGAGGGUGAUCGGCCACACUGGGACUGAGACACGGCCCAGACUCCUACGGGAGGCAGCAGUAGGGAAUCUUCGGCAAUGGACGAAAGUCUGACCGAGCAACGCCGCGUGAGUGAAGAAGGUUUUCGGAUCGUAAAACUCUGUUGUUAGAGAAGAACAAGGACGUUUGUAACUGAACAUCCCCUGACGGUAUCUAACCAGAAAGUCACGGCUAACUACGUGUCAGCAGCCGCGGUAAUACGUAGGUGGCAAGCGUUGUCCGGAUUUAUUGGGCGUAAAGCGAGCGCAGGCGGUUUCUUAAGUCUGAUGUGAAAGCCCCCGGCUCAACCGGGGAGGGUCAUUGGAAACUGGGAGACUUGAGUGCAGAAGAGGAGAGUGGAAUUCCAUGUGUAGCGGUGAAAUGCGUAGAUAUAUGGAGGAACACCAGUGGCGAAGGCGGCUCUCUGGUCUGUAACUGACGCUGAGGCUCGAAAGCGUGGGGAGCAAACAGGAUUAGAUACCCUGGUAGUCCACGCCGUAAACGAUGAGUGCUAAGUGUUGGAGGGUUUCCGCCCUUCAGUGCUGCAGCAAACGCAUUAAGCACUCCGCCUGGGGAGUACGACCGCAAGGUUGAAACUCAAAGGAAUUGACGGGGGCCCGCACAAGCGGUGGAGCAUGUGGUUUAAUUCGAAGCAACGCGAAGAACCUUACCAGGUCUUGACAUCCUUUGACCACUCUAGAGAUAGAGCUUUCCCUUCGGGGACAAAGUGACAGGUGGUGCAUGGUUGUCGUCAGCUCGUGUCGUGAGAUGUUGGGUUAAGUCCCGCAACGAGCGCAACCCUUAUUGUUAGUUGCCAUCAUUUAGUUGGGCACUCUAGCGAGACUGCCGGUGACAAACCGGAGGAAGGUGGGGAUGACGUCAAAUCAUCAUGCCCCUUAUGACCUGGGCUACACACGUGCUACAAUGGGAAGUACAACGAGUCGCUAGACCGCGAGGUCAUGCAAAUCUCUUAAAGCUUCUCUCAGUUCGGAUUGCAGGCUGCAACUCGCCUGCAUGAAGCCGGAAUCGCUAGUAAUCGCGGAUCAGCACGCCGCGGUGAAUACGUUCCCG
rnacentral:rRNA from 1 species